rnacentral:lncRNA from 1 species
CAGGUGGACUGAGUUUCUGUCAGAAGCCUCACUCCUGGAUUCCUUAUGCCAGCAGUUAUCUAGGUCAGUUAGAGGUUAGAAUUUCACCUUCCUGAAGCACUUUUCCUUUUGGAAAAAGGAAAAGCCUACUGGUAUGAAGAUGCUCUGCAAUGAAAGUUUGUUCCCCUUCCUGUGGGACAUACCUGCACCUUUUAGAUCAUUGUUGCUUUGUUCAUACAAGGUAGAGCAGGGGCUGCAUCAGAGCUAAAGAGACCAUUUAUACUGCUAGAUAGCAUGGUGCAAACAGGCAUUUGUUGUAAAUAAUCAUUGGAACAUAAUUACAAAUGUAUCUUUACAGCUUAUGUAAGGUAUCUUUUCUCUGGAUAAAAGAGAGCUACUGUGAGUCCACUUCCACCAUGGUCAAGUUAUUCGCAGUGUAUAAUGUGAAAGACAAGUCUGGAAGUUUCAGAUAUCUUUUGAAGAGAAUGAAGCUACAUGUAGAUUCAGUACAGCUGUCUAUAGUAAGAAGUUCCAGCAAGAAGACCCUUAUUGACCACGUUUUCUCCUUGCAUCCUGAGUUACAGAAUGGUUGGUUGUACACCUGCCUUUGUGAAGUCAGCUGGAGCUCAAAAGUUGGUUGUACUGAGCUUGGACACCACAUUCAGACCAAAGCUAAUCUGCACGUUUUUGGUAUAGUUUUGGUAUAA